CAGCAGCCGCGGGAAUACAGAGGGUGCAAGCGUUAUCCGGAAUGAUUGGGCGUAAAGCGUCUGUAGGUGGCUUUUCAAGUCCGCCGUCAAAUCCCAGGGCUCAACCCUGGACAGGCGGUGGAAACUACCAAGCUGGAGUACGGUAGGGGCAGAGGGAAUUUCCGAUGGAGCGGUGAAAUGCGUUGAGAUCGGAAAGAACACCAACGGAGAAAGCACUCUGCUGGGCCGACACUGACACUGAGAGACGAAAUCUAGGGGAGCAAAUGGGAUUAGAGACCCCGGUAGUCCCUGUCUCUUAUAA
rnacentral:rRNA from 1 species